GGCCUUUUAAGGGCUGAUUUGGCUUCAUUCUUUCAAUCAUUUUCAAACCAAGAAACAUGAGAGAAACCAUUGAAGCUCCUCUCUCAAAAAAUCCCAUAAAACCUAAAGGUGAUUUCUUGUGAUACGCAGUGAUUCUAGUGCCGAAAAACUCAAACUGCUUUCUAUAUUCCCUUUGCUUUUAUUGUAGCUGAGUUGGGGGGCUAAUUCUAGGUGAAGGGAGCUUAGGUUUUCACUGGUUCAAAUCAUUCCGAGUUGUUUUGGAAGAAGGAGCACUUAUUUCUUCAAGUUGACAACUUGUUCAAGUGAAGAAAUUUGUAGAAAAAGAUUUUGAAGGAAACGGGAAUUGAAUUUGGACUAGCGUAAAGGGCGAAAAAGGGGCUGCGUUUUCAAGCCGCGCAGGUACAGACGACAGAUUUGCUGACCGCCUGCCUAGGAUAUCUAUUCUGCUAUUUUGGGAGUGCUCUUUUGUCCAGAGCCUAUAUGUUGGUACAGUCUGCUGCUAUUGUAUAUAUGUAUGCUAUUCAGGGGUAUGACGGGGCCCUGUCCCGUCUUAUGAUUCUGUUAUGUUCUGUAGAGGUCUGUAGACAUACUUGUGUGGGUUCUGUAUAUGGUUUGGGAUGAUAUGAUCUGUGACAGCCUUAUCGGCUUCCAUGUACUAUGUCGGUUCAUUUAUGAUAAUUGCUAACGUCGAUUGAC